rnacentral:rRNA from 1 species
GAUUUCCCUAGUAACGGCGAGCGAACCGGAAAGAGCCCAGCUUGAAAAUCGUGGCGCCCCGGCGCCUCGAAUUGUAGUCUGGAGAAGGUCCCUCUGCGGCGCGCCGGACCCAAGUUCCCUGGAAAGGGACGCCAUCGAGGGUGAGAGCCCCUUUGAUUCCGGAGUGCGCCGCUCCACGAGGACCUGUCUGCGAGUCGGGCUGUUUGGGAAUGCAGCCCUAAGCGGGUGGUAAAUUCCAUCCAAGGCUAAAUAUUGGCAAGAGACCGAUAGCGAACAAGUACCGCGAGGGAAAGAUGAAAAGGACUUUGAAAAGAGAGUUAAAAAGUGCUUGAAAUUGCUGGGAGGGAAGCGAAUGGAAGCUGCGGGUGCGCCCCGGUUGGAUGUGGAACGGCUGUCAAAGGCUGGUCCGCCGCUCAACGCGGGGCGCUGGUCAGCGUGGGCCAUCGCGGCGGGACAAGAGCGGGGAUUCGUUUCCCGCCGAUGCCGCUGUGGUGGCCGAGGAACGAAGCGCGCGCCUCUGG